rnacentral:rRNA from 1 species
UACGUAGGUGGCAAGCGUUGUCCGGAAUUAUUGGGCGUAAAGCGCGCGCAGGCGGUCUCUUAAGUCUGAUGUGAAAAGCCCCCCGGCUCAACCGGGGAGGGUCAUUGGAAACUGGGAGACUUGAGUGCAGAAGAGAAGAGUGGAAUUCCACGUGUAGCGGUGAAAUGCGUAGAGAUGUGGAGGAACACCAGUGGCGAAGGCGACUCUUUGGUCUGUAACUGACGCUGAGGCGCGAAAGCGUGGGGAGCAAACAGG